UACGUAGGGGGCGAGCGUUACCCGGAUUUACUGGGCGUAAAGAGCGUGUAGGCGGCUGGCCAAGCGUGAUGUGAAAUCUUCGGGCUUAACCCGAAAACUGCAUUGCGAACUGGUCUGGCUAGAGUGUGUGAGAGGGUAGUGGAAUUCCCGGUGUAGCGGUGAAAUGCGUAGAGAUCGGGAGGAACAUCUGUGGCGAAGGCGGCCAUCUGGACCAGCACUGACACUGAGGCACGAA
rnacentral:rRNA from 1 species